rnacentral:rRNA from 1 species
GACGAACGCUGGCGGCGUGCUUAACACAUGCAAGUCGAACGGAAAGGCCCUGCUUGCAGGGUACUCGAGUGGCGAACGGGUGAGUAACACGUGGGUGAUCUGCCCUGCACUUCGGGAUAAGCCUGGGAAACUGGGUCUAAUACCGGAUAGGAGCCAUUUUUAGUGGGAGGGUUGGAAAGUUUUUUCGGGUUAGGAUGAGCUCGCGGCCUAUCAGCUUGUUGGUGGGGUAAUGGCCUACCAAGGCGGCGACGGGUAGCCGGCCUGAGAGGGUGGACGGCCACAUUGGGACUGAGAUACGGCCCAGACUCCUACGGGAGGCAGCAGUGGGGAAUAUUGCACAAUGGGCGCAAGCCUGAUGCAGCGACGCCGCGUGGGGGAUGACGGCCUUCGGGUUGUAAACUCCUUUCGCUAGGGACGAAGCUUUUUGUGACGGUACCUAGAUAAGAAGCACCGGCUAACUACGUG